rnacentral:rRNA from 1 species
AGUGAACGCUGGCGGCGUGCUUAACACAUGCAAGUCGAACGAGAACGGAUUAUAGCUUGCUAUAAUUGUCAGCUAAGUGGCGCACGGGUGAGUAAUGUAUAGGUAAUAUGCCUCUUACUAAGGGAUAACAAAUGGAAACGUUUGCUAAUACCUUAUACUCCUUAUUAACAGAAGUUAAUAAGGGAAAGAUUUAUUGGUAAGAGAUUAGCCUGUAUUGUAUCAGUUAGUUGGUGGGGUAAUGGCUUACCAAGACUAUGACACAUAACUGGUUUGAGAGGAUGAUCAGUCACACUGGAACUGAGACACGGUCCAGACUCCUACGGGAGGCAGCAGUGAGGAAUAUUGCACAAUGGACGAAAGUCUGAUGAAGCAACGCCGCGUGGAGGAUGACACAUUUCGGUGCGUAAACUCCUUUUAUAUGAGAAGAUAAUGACGGUAUUAUAUGAAUAAGCACCGGCUAACUCCGUGCCAGCCGCCGCAGUAA